AGGAACGAAAGCUAGGGGAGCAAAACGGAUUAGAUACCCGAGUAGUCCUAGCCGUAAACGCUGUGUACUAGAUGUUGCAUAUUUUUCGUGAAUGUGCAUUGUCGGAGCGAAGGUAUUAAGUACACCGCCUGGGGAGUACGGUCGCAAGGCUGAAACUUAAAGGAAUUGGCGGGGGAGCACUGCAACGGGAGGAGCGUGCGGUUUAAUUGGAUUCAACGCCGGAAAACUCACCAGGGCCGACUGUCAAAUGAAGACCAGCGUAAUGAGCUUGUCGGAUUGUCAGAGAGGUGGUGCAUGGCCGCCGUCAGUUCGUACCGUAAGGCGUUCUGUUAAGUCAGAUAACGAACGAGACCCUCAUCCUCAUUUGCUACUCAGUUCUCGCGAAUUGAGGCACUAUGAGGAGACCGCUGGCGCGAAGUCAGAGGAAGGCGAGGGCAACGGUAGGUCAGUAUGCCCCGAAUGUCCUGGGCUACACGCGCGCUACAAAGGAUGGGACAAUGGGAAGCCACGCCGAGAGGCGGAGCUAUCCCGAAACCCAUUCAUAGUUCGGAUUGAGGGCUGUAAGUCGCCCUCAUGAAGCUGGAUUCCGUAGUAAUCGUGUCUCAAAAUGGCACGGUGAAUAUGCCCCUGCUCCUUGCACACACCGCCCGUCAAACCAUCUUAGUUGGGAUUGGGUGAGGCUGCGCUUUAUGGCGCAUUCGAGCCUGGUUUCGACAAGGAGGGUUAAGUCGUAACAAGGUAUCUGUAGGGGAACCUGCAGAUGGAUCACCUCCUAAGAAA
rnacentral:rRNA from 1 species